CUCCUCGGCGUCCGAAUUCAGCACCGCCUUGUGUGAAACUAGUGAAUCUGAUGCAUUGGCGCACAGCAAAAGCCCAGUGGCUCACUUCCGAGCCGGGUUUCUCGGCGGCUCUUCCUGCGGCGGCUGCCUUCCAUCCCUCUCUACCGGCCACGCCAGGAACCUCCGCCACGGGAAUCUCGAGAGUCGGUGUGGAGGAGCUAGCUAGCUUGCGUGGCUGCCGGUGGGAAAUGGAGCUGGAGCGCCCCCGGAUGGAUGACAGUUCGCCCAUCCACCGGUGAAGGUUGCAGAUCGGUUUGACGAGUGCGAAAAUGUGCGAAUCAUGGCCGUCAUUAAAAGACCAAGUGAGACAGGAUCUUUAGGGGGAAAAGGUGUUCCUGGACAUAUUAUCCGUAAAAGGACUCUUUUACAAAAGACCCCCACGCCCCCCUACACAAGAGCAAGACAGCCGGACUUAAAAAGAUGGAAGGGGACUACAAAUGAUGCAACCAUGUUGUUUGUGACCAUUUUGCAACUCUUCGUUGUUGUUUGACAUCUUUUUGUGGUUAUUUUAGGUCCUUUUGUGGUAAUUUUGCAUCUUUUUGUGGAUCUUGCAGCUCUUUUCUGUCAUUCUCUGUCUCUUUGUGGUCAUUCUGCAUCUCUUUGGGGUCAUUUCGUGUCUCUUUGUGGUCAUUUUGCGUUCCUUUGUGGUUGUUUUGCAUCAUCUUGGGUCAUUUUGUGGCUCUUUGUGGUCGUUUGAUUGACUUUUCAACAAGAAAUGUUAACAGUCACUUAGAACAUAAGGUCUGUGCCCGGUACGCCAGUUCGGUAAUCCGUCCAUGAGUUCAGAGACUUGUAGAAUCUACGCCAAGGAGCACUGUUUUGGUGGUUCACGGAGGGCAAGCACUGUAUUGUGACUCUCUGCGUUGGUGUUUCCUUUAAUUUGUCGUUCAUCUGUACUUGCCCUAGGUGUAGUAUGUGCCGAGGCCUGUCCUCCCAUAGCGUUUUGCGUGCGCUAAGCAGAACCCCACCACCCAGUUGCCUAUAAAAUAGCAAGUGAGACAUUAAGCUACACUAGUGAACCACUGUAAUGAUAGUUCCACUCUUUGCUUAUGCUUUGGCAGCCUAUACAGAAAUACCACCCAGCACUGUGUCUGUAUGCUAAGGAGAGUUUUGGUUGUGGAUGAGUUGAAUUAAUGGAGCACACUGCCAUCUAAAGGCUAACUGAAUAAAACCCUGUAUGAGAGAGAACUGUGUUAAAAUAUUUCGAAUCUACCUGGAAGCCUUUUUAGCUCAACAAACCCACAGAUACUUUACAAUAGGUUUCGUACUCUUGGAUCCAAUCUGAGUGCAGCCAAGAGAAAAGCAAUCACUGGGGGCACAUUUCAUAUCGAGAAACCUCAGAAGUGUGCUGCCAGAAGUAAGGCCCUGUGUUUGACUGCGGUGAUCUAUUGGACGUUAGGUGAAUCUGCCUGUAAGUCCAUCCUGUCCUACUGGGUGAAAACCCAGCCAUCGGUGGAUAAUCUCAGCAUGCGGCCAUCCUGAGGUCAAAGGCCGUACAGCAGCCUCGUUGAUUUUUUUAAUCCCAGACAGACAUAUAAAGAUGACUUUAAAGUGACGCACAAUGUCUGAUCUGAGGUCAUAGUUAAUGACGGUGUUGCACUGGACUGCUUUAUAUUCAGAGGUGUUUCCAAUAUUCUGCCCCCUCUCAUGCAUGUAAAUGAAGAGGACAAAAAAUUAGAAACACAUCUUAAUAUAAUGUAGUCUGGUACAACACCACCUUUCACUAAAACCUCACUGCUCAGAAUUUACACAUUUCCAACAAUGUCACCAAGUACUUCCGUUAUAAACUUUGUAAAGGUAGAAUUUAUGGAGGAGCUAUUGCAUUGAAUUGUAAUAGAUAGCACGGGUAUACCGAAUGAAGUGGCCACUAAAGAGACAUUCAAGGUUUUAAAGCAUUGCAAGAUUAUUCAGCUGCAAAAUUUCACACGGUCUCCAUUAGCCGCCAUUAAGAUUCCAGCUUGCAGGACAUUUUUACAUAUACAGCACAUAGAGAUAAUAUUUGUUGUUUGGUCAAAGUUUCUUGUCCUAAAUCCAAUGCAUAAAAUCAACUUUCUUUCAGCCUCAACUUUGUCAUAAUUUCCUUAAGCUUCUGACAGGUUCACUUUGCCAUUUUUUUUCUCAAAGAUGUAAGGAGAUCACGACAGAGGGGGUGUUACUGUCGUGUUUCCAAGAGGAGAGACACAGGAAGCAAAAGCCAAAAGAGUUCAACAACCUUUCUGCCUCUGCCCUCAGUCCACCUCUUUCUCUUUCUAAUUCAAUGUGUCAAACAGCCUGUGUGUAUGUUUUCAUGGGUGUUUGCUUGUGUAUAUAUAGUGCUGGUGGUCUUUCAAGUGUGUGGGUCGCUGCUGCUGUAACAGAUCUAGCUUUAUCCGUGUUUCAUCAUUCCCAGCAUUCAGGCACAAACACAGCGCAGAAUCUCCCUCAUGUAACAAGAUAAAACGGAUGGGAAAAAGAAAAGUAAAAGAUGAAAUAAACUGACCGAAUCAGCAUGCGAAGAACAUACUGUAUUUAUCAUCCUCAUGGGUUCAAGGACCGAGCAAACUUUCGCACGUCAUAACCUUUACCCCUCCCUUCCUUCCUGUUAGUAACGAGUCACAAUCUAAACACAUCAUGAAUAAGAGAGGGCCAUCAGCAAAAGGCUAGCAGCCACUACCAUCCUCUACGCUGCAGGAAUCUGACAUAUCGCUUUGCAGCACAAAACAAAGUUGCUCAAGGUAACAGAUGAAGCAGCAAGCCAAGGGUUGGAGGGGGAAAAAAAAAACUUGCAAUAUGUUUAUCUUCUUCUGUAAAAACAAGAGAGGUAACAUAUAACUGAAAAAUCAGAGCUUGUUGGCUACACCAGGAAACAACAGGGUUGUGGGAAACGUAGUUUUAAUCCAUAACUGAAAGAUCACUAAAGAUAUGUCUCAUGUGUUUACAAUAAUUAUUACUGUUAAUUGAGCCUCCAAGGCAACUCCACGCAGAUAUUCUAAUCCUGUCUUACAUUAUAUUUAAUAUCCUCUUUUUAACUAGAGGAGAACACAUCACAUUAUCCAGACUCCACCGAAAAGACACACAGACGGAUCCGACACACACAUUCGCGAUCAUAUAUUCACACACACUGUCUAAUGGGAAUACAAGCAGGAGGUCCAAAACUUUCACAAUAAAAACAUAAAAGGGCAGCGGAUGUGGUCAGUAGCGAUCUGCAAGCUCCUGCCAAACACAAGUCAUAUAAACAAGAGAGAGAGUUGUGUGACCAUGGUGUCAAGGUCCCAGUAACAUUUCAUUUCCAGUAUACUUCAGAACAUGAAAGAGUUGGGGAAUCUUUUACUCUAUAUAAACAUAAGCUUUUAACAUAUUUUACCAGUUCACUGGUAUAAUGACAAAUACAGCAGGUGGUACGUUUGCACAGGAGACAAGGUAUCCCUCUAGAAAACGGACAAAACCUGUCACUGUUUGAAACCUUUAUAUCCCCUUCUAGUGGUGGACAAUGGAAACUACAGUAAACUCUGACUCAAACUUGAGAUGACUGACUGUGGUAAGGUUCUUUUGUUCCUUUAUGUUCUUAAAUUUAUGUCUUCUUUUUAUUUUUUACUCACCUCAUGAUGUGUAUAAAUGGUAAAUGUAGAUAUGUGAACAUAAAUGAAAGUAGUAAAAUGUGUG